rnacentral:rRNA from 1 species
CCUACGGGUGGCAGCAGUGGGGAAUAUUGCGCAAUGGGCGAAAGCCUGACGCAGCGACGCCGCGUGAGGGAUGAAGGUCUUCGGAUCGUAAACCUCUGUCAGCAGGGCAGAACGGUCACUGUGCUAAUCAGCAGUGCAUUGACGGUACCUGCCAAGGAAGCACCGGCUAACACCGUGCCAGCAGCCGCGUUAAUACGGAGGGUGCGAGCGUUAAUCGGAAUUACUGGGCGUAAAGCGCUCGUAGGCGGUAUGUCAAGUCAAGGGUGAAAUCCCCGCGCUCAACGUGGGUACUGCCGUUGAAACUGGGAAACUGGAGUGUGUGAGAGGAUGGCGGAAUUCCAGGUGUAGGAGUGAAAUCCGUAGAUAUCUGGAGGAACAUCAGUGGCGAAGGCGACUAUCUGGCACAUAACUGACGCUGAGGAGCGAAAGUGUGGGUAGCAAACAGGAUUAGAUACCCCGGUAGUC